rnacentral:rRNA from 1 species
CGGCCGCGUCGACCGCGAAGAACCUUACCAGGUCUUGACAUCCUUUGACCACUCUAGAGAUAGAGCUUUCCCUUCGGGGACAAAGUGACAGGUGGUGCAUGGUUGUCGUCAGCUCGUGUCGUGAGAUGUUGGGUUAAGUCCCGCAACGAGCGCAACCCUUAUUACUAGUUGCCAGCAUUCAGUUGGGCACUCUAGUGAGACUGCCGGUGAUAAACCGGAGGAAGGUGGGAUGACGUCAAAUCAUCAUGCCCCUUAUGACCUGGGCUACACACGUGCUAUAAUGGAUGGUACAACGAGUCGCAAGACCGCGAGGUCAAGCUAAUCUCUUAAAGCCAUUCUCAGUUCGGAUUGCAGGCUGCAACUCGCCUGCAUGAAGCCGGAAUCGCUAGUAAUCGCGGAUCAGAACGCCGCGGUGAAUACGUUCCCGGGUCUUGUACGUCGACGCGGCCG